rnacentral:rRNA from 2 species
AGAGUUUGAUCCUGGCUCAGGAUGAACGCUGGCGGCGUGCCUAAUACAUGCAAGUCGAGCGAACGGACGAGAAGCUUGCUUCUCUGAUGUUAGCGGCGGACGGGUGAGUAACACGUGGAUAACCUACCUAUAAGACUGGGAUAACUUCGGGAAACCGGAGCUAAUACCGGAUAAUAUUUUGAACCGCAUGGUUCAAAAGUAAAAGACGGUCUUGCUGUCACUUAUAGAUGGAUCCGCGCUGCAUUAGCUAGUUGGUAAGGUAACGGCUUACCAAGGCAACGAUGCAUAGCCGACCUGAGAGGGUGAUCGGCCACACUGGAACUGAGACACGGUCCAGACUCCUACGGGAGGCAGCAGUAGGGAAUCUUCCGCAAUGGGCGAAAGCCUGACGGAGCAACGCCGCGUGAGUGAUGAAGGUCUUCGGAUCGUAAAACUCUGUUAUUAGGGAAGAACAUAUGUGUAAGUAACUGUGCACAUCUUGACGGUACCUAAUCAGAAAGCCACGGCUAACUACGUGCCAGCAGCCGCGGUAAUACGUAGGUGGCAAGCGUUAUCCGGAAUUAUUGGGCGUAAAGCGCGCGUAGGCGGUUUUUUAAGUCUGAUGUGAAAGCCCACGGCUCAACCGUGGAGGGUCAUUGGAAACUGGAAAACUUGAGUGCAGAAGAGGAAAGUGGAAUUCCAUGUGUAGCGGUGAAAUGCGCAGAGAUAUGGAGGAACACCAGUGGCGAAGGCGACUUUCUGGUCUGUAACUGACGCUGAUGUGCGAAAGCGUGGGGAUCAAACAGGAUUAGAUACCCUGGUAGUCCACGCCGUAAACGAUGAGUGCUAAGUGUUAGGGGGUUUCCGCCCCUUAGUGCUGCAGCUAACGCAUUAAGCACUCCGCCUGGGGAGUACGACCGCAAGGUUGAAACUCAAAGGAAUUGACGGGGACCCGCACAAGCGGUGGAGCAUGUGGUUUAAUUCGAAGCAACGCGAAGAACCUUACCAAAUCUUGACAUCCUUUGACAACUCUAGAGAUAGAGCCUUCCCCUUCGGGGGACAAAGUGACAGGUGGUGCAUGGUUGUCGUCAGCUCGUGUCGUGAGAUGUUGGGUUAAGUCCCGCAACGAGCGCAACCCUUAAGCUUAGUUGCCAUCAUUAAGUUGGGCACUCUAAGUUGACUGCCGGUGACAAACCGGAGGAAGGUGGGGAUGACGUCAAAUCAUCAUGCCCCUUAUGAUUUGGGCUACACACGUGCUACAAUGGACAAUACAAAGGGCAGCGAAACCGCGAGGUCAAGCAAAUCCCAUAAAGUUGUUCUCAGUUCGGAUUGUAGUCUGCAACUCGACUACAUGAAGCUGGAAUCGCUAGUAAUCGUAGAUCAGC